CAGUCGAACGAAGCGAUUUAGCGGAAGUUUUCGGAUGGAAGCUAAAUUGACUGUGUGGCGGACGGGUGAGUAACGCGUGGGUAACCUGCCUCACACUGGGGGACAACAGUUAGAAAUGACUGCUAAUACCGCAUAAGCGCACAGGACCGCAUGGUCCGGUGUGAAAAACUCCGGUGGUGUGAGAUGGACCCGCGUUUGAUUAGCUGGUUGGUGGGGUAACGGCCUACCAAGGCGACGAUCAAUAGCCGACCUGAGAGGGUGACCGGCCACAUUGGGACUGAGACACGGCCCAAACUCCUACGGGAGGCAGCAGUGGGGAAUAUUGCACAAUGGGGGGAACCCUGAUGCAGCGACGCCGCGUGAGUGAAGAAGUAUUUCGGUAUGUAAAGCUCUAUCAGCAGGGAAGAAAAUGACGGUACCUGACUAAGAAGCCCCGGCUAACUACGUGCCAGCAGCCGCGGUAAUACGUAGGGGGCAAGCGUUAUCCGGAUUUACUGGGUGUAAAGGGAGCGUAGACGGUAAAGCAAGUCUGAAGUGAAAGCCCGGGGCUCAACCCCGGGACUGCUUUGGAAACUGUUUAACUAGAGUGCUGGAGAGGUAAGCGGAAUUCCUAGUGUAGCGGUGAAAUGCGUAGAUAUUAGGAGGAACACCAGUGGCGAAGGCGGCUUACUGGACAGUAACUGACGUUGAGGCUCGAAAGCGUGGGGA
rnacentral:rRNA from 1 species